CGACUUCUCCCUGAAACCCUGGCCGCUGACACAGUAGUUCCGCUUUCAAUAGUUCCGCUUUCACAGAGGCCCCCGGGGCCAAGUGACCGUGCAGAAACACCUAAGGCAGGAGAUGAGUGGUCAUGUAAAGGUUGAUUCACCAAAAAAUGGAACCAACUGAAAAAUUCACCCUUAGGAACCAAAUGAAAGCUCAUCGAGCUGGAGUGGAGUGAAUGCAAGGAGGGCACUGGUAGGAAAAGGCACGCAGCAGCGGUGACUGAGAAGAGUGUGAAUAAACUCGAGCCUUCACGGAGAAAAAGGAUUUAAAACUGACCCUCUUCCAUUUGAAUUUCAAGACUGGACUGAAUCCAAGGCAUCAUACAUACUACACAAGCACUGUCACUGAGCUGUACACAUACAAGUCUCCUUGCCUAUAAGCAGCUUACAAGGUUUCUACUUUACUAACACAAAUAUAACAACAGUAAAAUCAUCUCAUCUAAAAGAUGUUUAAGACAAAUGUCUAAAAUUAAAGUGUUCUCUGAUUCUAAUGAAUGUAAUUAAUUUGAUUUGGAAUGCCCACCUGAUCCUGGAAAAGAAAAGAGAUUUCCAGAUAGACUUACGUUCAUGAAAACAUCGUAAGUGUAGUUGUCAGUGUCAGCAUCCCAGAAACAUCGAGCAGCCAUGCUAAAAAAUCAAAGAACAAAAAAUUACCAACACUAUAACAAGGAUCUGAACUACUCCUGUCUGCAUAAGCAAAAACUUUCCUUCGUAUUGUGAUGAGAAUUGAACCCAGGGCCUCACACAUGCUAGACAAGAAUUCUACCACUAAGCUUAUAUCCCCAGCCCUUCAUACAGUCUUCUGAAACAGUGCUUCCAAGCCUUUUCACAGGUUAGCACACAGAGAAAAUCAUAUUUGUACAGCAGAGUAUGCUGGAUAACCUGAAGAGACAGGAUUCAUAGAUGAGGCUGGUUGCAGUUACAAGUGACCAGCCCAGGUGCUUUGGCAGACUCAGAUCCAACUGUCUGCCUGACAAUUGCAGGGGUUGAUAUCUUGAAGUCUUUGGUACUCUGGGUGGGACUCUUCUAUAGAUUACUUCAGCUAAAAUACUUGCGUGUGACUGUGAAAGGGCUUAAUUCCUGCACAAUAUGGGAGAAGGAGAUCUGUGAAGGGCCGGACAGACUAUUUAGUCCAGCCUGAUCAUUUUAUAGAGUCCCAUAAGAGAAAGGGGCAAACUGAAAUAACAUUCAGUCUUCUAACUAAAUCCAAUAUUAUCUCUACAGAAUGCUGUGCUUCCUCUAAAUUCUCAAAUUGGCCAUUUUAUUCCCCACAAAUUCUUAGAUAAAAAAAAUGUUAGUCACAAUAAAAAUCAAUGGUGCAUGCCUGUAAUCCCAGCAGCUGGGGAGGCUGAGGCAGGAGGAUCGCAAAUUCAAAGCUAGUCUCAGCAAAAGCAAGGUGCUAAGCAACUCAAUGAGACCCUGUCUCUAAAUAAAUACAAAAUAGAGCUGGGGAUGUGACUCAGUGGUGGCCCCUGAGUUCAAUCCUUGAUACCCCCCCCCCAAAAAUAAAAAAUUUUAAAAAUCAAUUAAAAAAUGGCAACAAAUGUACAUCAGGACUGGAUUGGUAAAUGAAAUUAUGAUAUUCCCUGGCAGUGAAAUUCUAUGUAGGGCUGGGGUUGUGAUUCAGUGGUAGAGCACUUGCUUGGCAUGUGUUACAUCCUGGGUUUGAUCCUCAGCACCAUAUAUAAAUAAAUAAAUUAAAUAAAGGUCCAUAAACAACUAAAAAUAUAUAUAUUAAAAAAAAUUUUAAUUCUAUGUAGUCAUUAAAGAGAUGUUCUAGUGUAGAAGACAGGAAAUAAUUAAAAUCAGAGCUGAAAUCAAUGAAAUUGAAACAAAAGAAACUAUUCAAAAAAUUGACAAAACAAAAAGUUU